rnacentral:tRNA from 4 species
GGGAGUCUGGCCGAGUGGUUAUGGCGUUGUGUUUAGGCCGCAAUGGGUACGCCCGCGCAGGUUCGAUCCCUGCGGCUCCCA